GUGGGGUAUGGUGACAUGCAUCCUAUAACAGUAGCAGGAAAAAUGGUUGGCAGUGUAUGUGCAUUGACGGGGAUCUUAUGUCUUGCGUUACCGGUUCCUGUUAUUGUUUCAAAC
rfam:Ciona intestinalis ciona0185, whole genome shotgun sequence.